UCCCUGGUGGCUCAUAUGGUAAAGGCAUCUGCCUACUAUGCGGGAGACCCAGGUUUGAUUCCUGGGUUGGGAA
rfam:Ovis aries breed Texel chromosome 1, whole genome shotgun sequence.